CAUGUUAUGAUAUGAGUUACUGCAGAGUAGUCCAGGUGAGGCCUAAUCGCCCCUGGCACAGUUGGACAUACUAUUAUGUAUGUAGAGGGCUAUGGUGACAAGUUCAUCCUUGAGAUGAUAUGUUUGUGAUAUGACGCAUUUCAUGAGAGCAUGUAAUUAAUGAACUGUUUUUAUUGUUCCUCCUCACUGGGCUCUAGAGCUCAUCCCACUCCCUUGACCCCAGUUUUGCAGGUUCUGAGAUAGCUAUGAGAAGGCAAAGUCAGCAAGAGUACAGAGGACAGUUAUGCAUGAAUGUAUGUUGUAAUAGGAUAGUGGACAUGAUGUAAUUAAAAGACGAGUUGUCAUGUAAUGUAUCGAUAUGUACUGUCAUUUACUGGAUAGAUUUAUGCUUUCCCUAGUGUCACUGCUAUAGUGUGAUGUAUGAUUCAUCCCUUGUACACAAUCCUGUUUUACGUUUCUUGAUGAGAAAUGUGUGAGUUAGGCUUAAUGUAUGGCUUCGAUGAGAUACCAGUGGGAUGUGUUACAUAUUGUGUUAAUCCCUGGACCACAACAGAUAGUAGUCCCUGGUACAGGCCCUGAGGGCCAUUUCAGAUUGACAUAUCUGAGUCGCAGUAGUUAAGCCUACAGCGUUUUACAGGAUUGGUGAGUAUCCUUGUAUCAUGUAUGGGAUGUAUCAGGUACUCAGAGAGUAUAGUUGGCUUGCUACGGGUCCCGGCGGCCUUAAGCCGAUCUGGAUCCUAGUGCCAGUGAUGGUUCGGGCCGUUACAGAGGGGGUACCGGUUUCCUGGUCGUUACAGAUUGGUAUUAGAGCUUAGGGCCUCAAGAGUACGGUGUGUUGAGCAUCUUUGUUCAUGGACUAGAGAUAUCCCACAUCGGAAAGAGGUGUUGUCUUGUAUAGGAGGGGAAGCACAAUAGGUAAAAUCAUGUCCACUAGGAUAAGAUGUGGAGUUUGUCUUGCAUGAUGAUGUGGAAUGCCAUGAUGUGUUGCCUGUGCAUUAUUGAUAUGGUUGAUAUGUGUUGAGGAUUCAUGUGUUCUCACAUGGAUCAUUUGAUGAUAUUUUUGUGUGUGAUGUUGUGCUUUUCAGAGGCAGGAUGAGAGGAACUCGUCGAUCUGGUAGAUUGACUGGAGCUCCGCCGGAGGAUGAGGACAUGGAUGCUCAUCUCCCCGUUCUGCAAAGGGCAACAUCAGAUAGUGUAAGCAGAGAAGGUACAUCAAUGGACCCUAGCAGGUCUGUUGAGGAGAGUAGAAGGGGAGUUGUGCAGAGUGGUAUGUCAGGGUUUAUGAGAGUCAUAGAGGAAGAUGAGUAGAGCAGAGAUAGUAGCUUUGGCAUGAGCAGGUUAGGAGGAGAUAUGGGUGAGUCCCAAGGAGGCACUCAGGCCUCGAGGUUUGUUCCAUCUCAGUAUCCACCCUACCCGUGGGGGGCAGAGUACCCGAUGAGAGGUACAUCAGAGUUUUUUCGGUAUAACCCAUAUCCCACCUUUAUGCCCUAUCCUUCCUUUUACCCGCCAUAUCCACAGUAUACCAUGUUUCCACCCUUCUUUUGGUACCCAGGGUCAGUAAACCCUAACCCAGAGCAUGUUGCACCUCCUCCAACAUCAGUAGAACCAGUAGCCCCAGUUAUCCAAACACCCAAGCCUAGUUCACCUGGAGGAAGUACAGUACAGAUGACAGACUAUGUGAGGUUAGACGUUCCCCAAUUUGAGACUGGUGAUGACCCUGUUGAGUAUCUUAGACUGGUCAAGAUGAUAACUGAUGAGUUGGGAGCCAAUGAGAGUAGAGCCAUUCAGAUGGCAGGGAGCACAUUGACAUGUGAGAAAGCAAGGGAAUGGUUCAACCAGUAUGUGGAUUCGAGGGUAGAAAGCUUAUCCUGGGAGCAGUUUGCUCAUGAGUUUGUAGGAGGGGUUGUAGAUAGGUCCAGGGAGAGUUUCCACGAUAUAGUAGAUAUGGUACAGAAGAGGGAAGCUAGCACCACACUUGCAGGGACAAGUGAUGUUAAUCUCUCCUCUCUGCAUGAGGCUGAUACAAAGAGUAAGAAAGGAGGUAGAGGCCUCAGGAGAUCAAAGAAGAAUAAGUUCUGGAAGCAGAUAGGUGAGGGUUCGAGUUCUGGUUUGAAUACCUCAAAAUGUCCGAGGUGCGGUAGGCCGCACAAGGGAGUCUGUCUCGUAAGGACAACAGCAUGUUUUAGGUGCGGACAAGAGGGGCACAUAGCACGUGAGUGUUCCACCGCCACUUUGCUAACACAGUCCCAGCAGACAGUCUCAGACAGAGUGGCUCAGCCAGAAGCUCUAGCCAUGGCACAGGGCAGAGGCAGAAGGAGCGGGAUCACUCCUUCUUCCACAGGUUCCCCAGGUGAAGGUCCAUCAGUGCCAGCACGGAUCUUCGCUUUGACGCAGCAGGAGACGGACACAUCGGACAUGGCGGUGACAGGUACUUUUCACUUCCAUAUGUUUUGAUGUGUUUAUUAAUAGUGACUCUGAUGUUUCGCUUUCCUUAGGGCCGUGAGAGCCGUCGAGAGUAUGGGUUUGAUAACUUCUGGGAUUAAAAUGUCCUCUUUGGGUUAAUAGACUCAAGUGUGAUCCGUCAGUGGCAGAGUUAGUCUGCCAAUAGAGUUGAGUGCGAGUUUUGAGUAGGUGCCUUCCAGCUGACCUUGUGGUUCUAGAGUGACUGGUUGAUGUCAUUCUAGGGGUGGAAGGGCUAGCUACUCAUCGUACUGCUUUAGAUAGCGGAGGCAGAGUAGUCAGGCUUUGAGACUAGGAUGGAUCACAGGUAAUGUGUGAGGGGACAAAGUAGAGAUGCCUAGAAGUUUGCUAUCAGCCCUAGAGGCUCUUACGCUAUUUAGAAGAGGUUAUCAAAGGUUUCUUGCUGUUUCCGAAAACGUCGUAGUUAGUCAGAUUAGAAGGGGAACAGUUUUAGUGCCCGCAGCCAGAGAAAAGUUGUAGAUAGGACCCAGACACGUCAUCAGGUUUACCACUCGCUAAACGAAGAGAGUGAGAACUAAGAAUAGCUAGAUAGUGAAUCAGGAAAGAUCUUCGAGAGUGGUGCUAUGAGAUGCUAUUUAUCCAGGUAUAGGGAGAGUGAUCUCUCAUCUCCGAGUGCAGCCCUCAAAGAUAAGAAAUAAGUCAAAGAACAGAGUAAGAUCAGAAUAAGAGGAAGAGAAAAGUAAGUGUCAUAGAUCAGAGUAACAAAACAAAAGAAAGAAAAAGAGUACGCAAACUAGAAUAGAACAGAGAAAGAAAAGAGUAAGAAUAAGUGUAAGUUCAGGAGGAGAGUUCAGUAUAAUCUGGGCUUCAGUGGUAGUUGAGGCAAAGGAAAGGGUUAGCCUUUUCAUUAGGAAGUUCCCGAGGGAAGUUCCGUUAGUUUGAGCUCGGAUCUUCACCCUGACUCAGUAGGAAGCUAUCACAUCGAACACAGUGACGUCAGGUAUGUUCACUUGUGGAUGUUCGGAUGUGUAUGCUGUUUGUUUUGAAUCCGCGUGUUUCUACUUUCUUGUGACGUAGUGAGCUGUUAAUCGAGUGGGUUGGAUGACUUCUAGGCUUAGAGUGUUUUCUCUGGGUUAGUGGACCCGAGUAUGAUCCAUCUGAGACAGAGUCAGUCAGUUAGCGUAGUUUCGAGUUUGGAGUGAGUAGAGACUAUCCAGCUGACCUAAUGGUUCUAGAGUUGACUAGUGGAUGUCAUUCUAGGGUGGAUUGGCUACUUACUCAGUGUACUACCUGUGUCUGUAGAGACAAGGUAGGAGAGUUCAGAGGCUAAGAUGGAUCAGAGAUAGUCCUUGGCAGGGACAGAGUAUAGGUGCCUAGAGGUUUGAUGUCAGCCCAGUAGGCUCAACGGUACACAGGAAAGGUUAUCAAAGGGUUCUAGCUCUUGUGAGCGAGUGUAGGAGUCAGAUCAGGGAAUGUGCCUCAAUACCCGUUGCUAGUGAGUUCUAGAUGAUUGUCCCAGAUGAGCUGUCAGGUUUUCCAUCUGUCAGGGAGCCAGAGUCUGGAAUAGACGUGGUAUCUGGACGCGGAACCAUUUCUUUCCUUCUACCCUACAGAAUGGCAUCUGCAGAGAGAGUAUAGUCAGCAUAGUAUAGAGAAGCUUGGUAGAGAAAGGUUAUCCGACCUAGUACCUCACCCUGGAAUGUUCCAGUGUCAGUGUGAGAAACGAAGGAUGAAACCUUGAGAUUUUGUAACGAUUGUGAGCAGUUACACAAAAUCACUACCAAGGACAGGUGUUCCCACGCAGGAGUAAUAGUCUGUGGAGACAGCGAGUAGGAGCUGCUGAUCCUCCACGAUAGAUUUAAGAGUUAGAGAGAGACCAAAAAACAUAAAAGCCAGUAUAGGAAAGAAGAAGAAAGGCGGGCAAGGAUCAGAGUGCGCAGCAAAAGCGUAGAAUCGUUCAGAAAACAGAGAAGCAUGCCCAGUAGCUACUCAGUAUUGCUCCUCUGACCGGAGUGAGUACAAGGAAACUAAGGGUAAAGAUCUAGCGUAGUGAGAAAGCUAAAAAGAGCCAAAGAGAAAAAGAAAGGUAGUAGUCCCUAUAGAGUAUGGACACAGAUGCAGCAGAUAAGAAUCCACAGAGUCAGAAGAUAUGACUAACCCGGAAGUAUGUACUCCAGUGGUAUCUGUGUCGCUUCUUAGAGGAAGGUGGUAGGCUUUCCUUAUUUGCUUGUUUGCAUAUGUGUUUGUUGUGUGAACAUUCGAGGACGAAUGUUCUUUAAGGGGGGAAGAAUGUAAUACCCGGCUAUAUUCAGACAUCGGAAUUCCUACCAUCCGGUGGAAUUCGAGGAUGUCAGAGGUCUCUGGAAGGGUAAGAGAAAGUUGUAAAGGUUUAGAAUGGAAAAGGAGUGCGUUUUGAAGACGAAAGGCUUUGGGGACAAAGGCCAGGUUCGGCCGCCGAAGGUUAAGUUCGGCCGCCGAAAGCGCCCACUGUUCGGCACCCGAAACUCAAGUUCGGCCCCCGAAUGUUGCAUGGUUUUGCAUGCGUUUCGGCAGCCGAAGCUGAGCUGGUCAGCCAGCCCUUGUGCACUCCUCAGUCGGUGAAAUGGCCAGGUGUUGCUUCCUAAUCACAGACAGAGGAUUAGGCCACGUCUCCCAUGACUCAUCUGCAAGCUUUUAUCAGCUUAUGCAGAGGGUUGGUUGUGUCUACGUGGUUUGAACGGUUUUGAGAGAAAAGAAGAGUUUUGGAGGUUUGGUGAAGGUGAAGUCGUGGUGGCCAUUGUUCAGUGUUUAGGUUGUCUCAGCUUCUGGUUUCACAAGGUAAGGAAAGCUUUGAACUGGUUUUCAUGGUUUAUGAGCAGUGUUUAAGAAGGUUAAAGGUAGAGUUGUUAUACAGGUUUUCAAGGUUAGUUUUGAUGUUUGAAUGGUGUAAGCAUGUUUAUGUGUAUGUUUGUUGUUUGUGUUGGGGUUGUUAGGUAGUUUUAGGCCCCUUUGAACAUAUACUUAAGUAUAUGUGAGUUGAGGGAGGAGUUAUGCAUGUUUUGCGAGUAAGAAGUGGAUGAAGGAGGGAGGUUGCCGUCGGGGCUGAGUUCUGGAUGAACUCAGGUUCGGCAGCCGAAGGAGCAUUCGGCCGCCGAACCCCUUGCAUGGUGGCUUAGGCUGCCACAGCUUGCCCCCGAGUGUUUUUGAGGUUCGGCUCUGUUUAGGGGAUUCGGCCGCCGAAGGUUAGAGACUUUCGUCUCUGGAGUGAGUUUUAGCCCCCGAACCUUACCCCCGAAAGGGUUCGGCAGUCGAAAGUGGAGCUUCGGCCGCCGAAGGUACUUGAGUUUCGGCUCUAGGGAGGACAUUCGGCCGCCGAACCUGCCGCCGAAAGUGUUCUAUCCAGCCUUCCUUUGCUUGUUUUGCAUGCAUGUGUUAAAGUGUUCUAGAGGGGUUUUUGGGCAUUGGUGAAGAGUUAUUUAUGAGUAUGUUUGGUGCCUCAUUGACGUCCUCCAUUGUAGGAUUGGACCCGAGGAACUGCAGAGUUUAGCAGUCGUAGCUGUCUCAGAAUUAGAGGUAGCCCAGAGUUAGCCCAGUAAAGGCUACAGGUGAGUGGAACUAAACUACAUCUUUUAUCUUGAGAAAUAACACGAAUCUAGCAUGAUCCAUGCAUCAUAAAAUACCAUGUUAUGUAUUAGGUUGUAUUGCAUUAGAAUCCACGAAUAUGCUGCAUUGCCUAAGACGAUAUUUGUGUGGAUGAAUGUUGGAUGAUCCUUAGCCCUUGAUAGAGCACAGAGACAGAGUUAUGGCAUGAGAUAGCCAUACCAGGUCGCCCCUGGAUAGUCCAGGUCGCUCCUAGUACUAAGAGUGAGACAGCUGGGCUGUCAGAUUAGAGCGCAGAGCAGUCCAGGUGAGGCCUAAUCGCCCCUGGCACAGUUGGACAUGUUAUGAUAUGAGUUACUGCAGAGUAGUCCAAGUGAGGCCUAAUCGCCGCUGGCACAGUUGGACAUACUAUUAUGUAUGUAGAGGGCUAUGGUGACAAGUUCAUCCUUGAGAUGAUAUGUUUGUGAUAUGACGCAUUUCAUGAGAGCAUGUAAUUAAUGAACUGUUUUUAUUGUUCCUCCUCACUGGGCUCUAGAGCUCAUCCCACUCCCUUGACCCCAGUUUUGCAGGUUCUGAGAUAGCUAUGAGAAGGCAAAGUCAGCAAGAGUACAGAGGACAGUUAUGCAUGAAUGUAUGUUGUAAUAGGAUAGUGGACA
rnacentral:lncRNA from 1 species